UAGAACCUCAAGGAUGGUGAGUGCACUCGAGAAAGCUCCGCUCGAAGAUGGUUACGUAUCGUACCCAUGGGAGCAUAGAAUGCACGAGAUGCUCUCGGUUCCGAAUUCAAGCACAUUCUAUUCCAUUAAUUGCUGCUCUGCACUCGCGUCUCCUCCGAGCGGCGAUUAGACAUCAAUUGAAGUGGUUGAAAUUAUUAAUUGCCUAAUGUAUUACUUGCGUUCCCACAAGAGAAAACAUGAAGAGGAGAGAAAGACGAAGAGGAAGACGAGGAAGACGAAGUGGAUUACUUGCGACCCGACCGCCGAGUCCAUUGCUUCUAGUAGCACUCCGGUAAAUUGUGUUCUGCUUUUCUCUGUUUUUUUCCAAAUAAUGUUGGUCUUAGUGUCAUAUACUUUGGAGGUGCGAUAUACUUUCGUAAAUUUCUACUAUUCGCUUAGCCACUUUUUUUGCAACUUUUUCGUUUGUUAGAAAGCUGUUUAGAGGUUGUAAUAGGAAGGAAACAUCCUUUUUUGUGUGGCUCUGCUUUUCUCUGUUUUUUCGAAAUUAUUUUGGUCUUAGUGUCAUAUACUUUGGAGGUGCGAUAUACUUUCUUAAGCAGAAAUCGAAGCGACAAAAAUAGGUGAAAUCGUAAAUUUCUACUAUAAGCCGCUAGUUCUAGUUUUUGGGUCCAUGAACACGAGUCUUCAAUGGUUUAGUACCCUCAGCGAAGUUUAGCCACUUUUUUUGCAGUUUUUUCGUUUGUUAGAAAGCUGUUUAGAGGUUGUAAUAGGAAGGAAACAUCCUUUUUGUGUGGCUAUCUUAGCUGAGAGGUUAACUGUGGGUGCUGGACUUUGAAGAUUCUUGUAAGUGGCCCUGUUUUUAAUGUUUUUAGCUUCUGAACUACUAGCUAGGGUUGAAGCUUGUCCUGUGGAUCUUUGUAGUGUCUUUGUUAAGGUUGUUUUACGGUUGCUUUUGGCAGUUUCACAGAAUGUGCUUUGGCCGUGGGAGCAAUUUGUUUUGCUCUGCCAUGACGACCAAUUUUUAUUUUCCCGAGCACUAGUUUUGCAGGUUUCUCUCCUGACCCUGUCAGGAUCGAUUACUUGGUUCUAAAUUUAUAUGUGAUUGUUUAUGUGACAUUAUCUUGCUUCUUGUUCCUUAUCUUAUUCAUAAGUUUGAUUUUGUCUUGUUUAUUUAUCGUAGAUGCCAGCCCAU
rnacentral:lncRNA from 1 species